rnacentral:lncRNA from 1 species
UUUUGAUAGAUGUUUUUGCAAUUGGGUCAUCUAAUACUGAAGCCGCUACAAUUUUCGGCGUGUUUUCAUCGAAAUUCUCUCUGUCUCUCCGAUUUACUCUCUCAAUAUCCAUAUUUUCUUCAUUCGUUCACCCUCUCUUUCUUGUUCAAUCUCCUAUCAGCUCUCUAUUAUCUCCUCCAUUCACUAUUUCUCCUUAUUUUCACUUAUUUCUCUCUUACUCUCAAUUCUCUAUCUCCCAUUCUCGAUCUUCUCUCUAUUUUUGCUAAUCCUAUUUACUCUAUGUGUAUUGUAUGUCUGUUGGUGUGAGUUUUACUGUGUAUUGAUGAUGUGAGAGUGCGUGUAGGUGUUUUCCCCUCUCGAUUUUGCUCUUUGUCUAGGUGUGUGUGUAGAGGAUAAUAUAUGGGUGUGGAAAAAUUAUGAGCGUAUACGAGUUUUUAUGUGUGUCCAGUGGGUGUGUAUUGUUAGGGGGCGUAUAUUUGUAUUUAUCAGUGUCUAUGUUCACUGUAGGGUAACUCCACUUGUGAAUAUUGGUAUAUGGGUGUAUGCAUAUCUGUUAAAAGGGAAGGCCCAUAAAACGUAAAAA